UAGUCCACGCUGUAAACGAUGUCUACCAGCUGUUGGGUUCCUUGAGGACUUAGUGGCGCAGCUAACGCGAUAAGUAGACCGCCUGGGGAGUACGGCCGCAAGGUUAAAACUCAAAUGAAUUGACGGGGGCCCGCACAAGCGGUGGAGCAUGUGGUUUAAUUCGACGCAACGCGAAGAACCUUACCAGGUCUUGACAUCCUACUAAGUUUUCAGAGAUGAGAAUGUGCCUUCGGGAAAGUAGUGACAGGUGCUGCAUGGCUGUCGUCAGCUCGUGUCGUGAGAUGUUGGGUUAAGUCCCGUAACGAGCGCAACCCUUGUCCUUAGUUGCCAGCACGUAAUGGUGGGAACUCUAAGGAGACUGCCGGUGACAAACCGGAGGAAGGAAGGGACGACGUCAAAUCAUCAUGGCCUUUAUGCCCAGGGCUACACACGUGCUACAAUGGCAGGUACAGAGGGGAGCGAUAUAGUGAUAUGGAGCGAAUCUCAGAAAGCCUGUCCC
rnacentral:rRNA from 1 species